CUUCUGUAGACUUGGGUCAAUUGGCAGAGCCUUGCAGUUUCUUCUAGACUGACCUGCUGUUGCUGACUGGUGAAUAGUUUUGGAGUGGAUUGAGCUGCUGCUGCUGAUUCGUGUGAACUGAACUGCUGAUGUCCUGACAAUGCAGACUGGAAUUGCUACAAGGAAAUAUAUCUAAACAGGUGAGCCUUCAAUGGAUUGGAUCAUGCUUGCUCACACUGUUUGUAGAACUCUGACCAAAUGAGUAAGUCAAGGUGCUCCUGUGGACAGGAUAUACAUACUAAAAGAUGCCAAUGGGAUUCAAGGUGCAGCGUCUUUUUGUGAAGGUUUUCUCUUCUUGAAAAUCAGAUGCUUCUCAUUCAUAUAUUAGCUCAAAUAUUCCUGAAGAAAGUCUGUUAUUGCCCGUAGUGAAAUUGGUUUGGAGUCAUUGUCCACCAUAGCAUCUCAUAUCAUUUUCUUCAUGGCAAUUCCAGGCAUCCGAAAAUAUCUGCUUAUUAAUUUCUUAUAAA